GACGACCGCUGGCGGCGUGCCUAAUACAUGCAAGUAGGACGCAGUUGCGAACGGGUGAGUAACGCGUAGGUAACUACCUAUUAGAGGGGGAUAACUAUUGGAAACGAUAGCUAAUACCGCAUACUCGUAGAUGGACCUGCGUUGUAUUCGAUAGUAGGUAGGGUAAUUGCCUACCUAGGCAACGAUACAUAGCCGACCUGGGAGGGUGGUCGGCCACACUUGGUAUGAGACACGGCCCAGACCCCUACGGGAGGCAGCAGUAGGGAAUCUUCGGCAAUGGGGGGAACCCUGACCGUGCAACGCCGCGUGAGUGAAGAGGGUGUUCGGAUCGUAAAGCUCUGUUGUUAAGGAAGCGGUACUUAGCCAGAAAGGGACGGCUAACUACGGGCCAGCAGCCGCGGUAAUUC
rnacentral:rRNA from 1 species